UUCAUUACAAAAUACAUUCUCUAAUUUAGGUAAAAAAGUACCGUUUUUCCUAAUUAAAUCAUAUCUAAUCUGGGAUGGGUGUCCCAGUCUCUUGUGCCAAAUGUUUGCUGAUGGUGUUCUGUUGACAGCAUAUGACCUUGGUUGUUCCAGGACUUCUUUUCUUCCAUUCAGCAUGUAGAGUCCAUCGAUCCUUUUACCCAUAGAAAUCAAUCUCAUCUUCGAAUCCUGUAUCAAACAAUGAUCAGGAUGAAAUGAGAAGCUACAUUUUAACUGUUUUGUAAGUUUUGUUACUGAUAUCAAAUUUACAUUGAAGUCAGUAAUCUGUAGUACAUUGUGUAAUGUUAACAGAUCGUCUAUUUUAUAAUUCCCAAUGUAUCUCACAGUUGUUGUUUGUGAGUUUGGGAGGUUUACAAUAAUAGGUUUUACUAAUGCCCUUUUUUCACUUAGUGUGAUGGCUGGUCCACACAUGUAAUCUGUGGCUCCACUGUCUAUUAUCCAGUCAGUGGUGUUCCUAGUUUUUGUAUUGAAACAGAGUGAUUCUUGGGGCUUACCAGUAUGGUUUGGGUUCAUUUUUGGUUGUAUUUGUGCUCUGCCCAUGUGUACAUAAUGCUUCUCCUCUCCUGCUUGUUGGAUUUGAUUUUGGUUAAGGAGGGAUCUUAGCUGUUCCAUUAUAUCUUGAUUGCUUUGAUUCCCACUCUGAUAUUCAGGUUGACUGGGGUUAUUAAUUGUUUUGAUAUCCAUUGUCGUUUUCAGUUGUGUAAUAUUCCUGGUUUAUCUCUUCCAUUGUGUAGUUGUUUUCAUUUUCUUGCCACUGUUGGUUUUCAACUUCCUCAGAGUAGCUGUUAUAUGCCCUUGUCUGUGGUCUGAAAUUGUUGU
rnacentral:lncRNA from 1 species